UACGUAGGGUGCAAGCGUUAUCCGGAAUUAUUGGGCGUAAAGAGCUCGUAGGCGGUUUGUCGCGUCUGCUGUGAAAACUGGAGGCUCAACCUCCAGCCUGCAGUGGGUACGGGCAAACUAGAGUGCGGUAGGGGAGACUGGAAUUCCUGGUGUAGCGGUGAAAUGCGCAGAUAUCAGGAGGAACACCGAUGGCGAAGGCAGGUCUCUGGGCAUUAACUGACGCUAAGGAGCGAAAGCAUGGGGAGCGAACAGG
rnacentral:rRNA from 1 species